rnacentral:lncRNA from 1 species
CUGCUGGCUAGAACAAGCAGGGCCACUCACUGUUCCUUAAUAGUGCUUUGAUAGCUACUCUUCUCUUCUCAAUCCAAAUCUUGGAAGCCGCCUUCUAAGUUCUAGAUGCUAGGAACCUAGUAUGAAAUGGGGCAAUCACACUUGUUCAUAAAAUGUUCUUCCGACAGUGUGUAACGUCUGAGAGUCAGGAAAACUGAGUCUUGAUCAAGAUUGGCCCACACAUUGCUGUAGAAUGACUCAUUGUCUUUAGACCAAAAUUUCCUCAUCUGUAAGAUAGUGGAGCUGUAUAAAGUGAGCCUCUAUCUGCUCAAUUAGUUUAUGAUUCUGAAGGCUCUUCCCUUUCUGAUGCCUAUAACCUCGUGUAAAAUAAGCCAGGCUGUACUAAACAGUACUAUUAAGUAAUUGUUCCCUCACUGCACACAGCUCUGGGAAGUCAACACACAAUUGUUUUGAAAGCUAAACACAAAAAUGUAUGACCAGUGACUAUAGUUUAAUAAUGUAGCCUGAGAGUAUUGGAAACCUCAUGACCUGGAAGCUGUUAGAAAGGUCAUGAUUUCCACGUGCAUGAAGAGUUACUUGGCAUCCUUGUCACUAAAAUCUAAACCUGAACAAUCUUUUAUAGAGGUAGAUUUCAUGGAAGUUGAUCAGUUAUUGAAAACAUGUCCUCCCUAGCCUCUAUUUGCUUCAAUUACAAGGCAUGUUAGAAUUAACACAAGGAAGCAUAUAUCCAGUGUGUGGAGGGACACUGAUUUGAAUGAGACUCUAUAACUUGUAUUUCAUUUUAGAUAUUUGUUCCAAAGAAAGAAACAAGACAGCCAUGAGAUUUGCUACUGACUCUUCUAAAACUUAAUCAUUUCAUAGCAGUAUGUGUACAAUAGUAUGAUUAUUUUAAAUACACUGGAUGAAGUGAGCUUUUAGUUUGAAAUAUUUCAUGUGCAUAUCAUAUGCUGUACAAAACUGCUGGGCAUGAGUAAAAGCGCCCUAAACGCUUGAAACAAUGUUUUCCUUAAAAACAUUAGCAUCUUUUGAAAAAAAGAAAAAACAGAACAGAAUAACAAUCAAUUUCAGAGGCAGAACUCUACAUACAGAGAACUUGUCAGUUUUCUGGCUUUUUAAAUCUACCUCCACCUCCACCCCUAAGAAAAGCCCCAAAGUGAACAAACUUUCUGAAGUGGAACACUUGAACAGUUGUUUUUCCCAUACUACUUUUGAAGUCUUCCUUUUCAUUCUUAACUUACAGAAAAAUCCUGCCUUAAAGAGCCUUACUGCAUAAACAAAGUCUCCAGGCAAUCAGAAGCAUCGAAACAGAAGGCAGAGCUGUAGGUAAAAGGCAUCUUCAAGCUCUGCAUCCUCACGUGUUCCUCCUCUCACAAGCCGAGAAGAGCCAAAGGCCAUCCAGCAGCAUUCCUCUGUUAUGCCUUUCCGUGUCUGCCAGUUCGUUUUCAUUCACUGGAAAGGCCAAUUUUCCACAUGCUAUUCAAAGUGGUGUGUGCCUUUGAAAAGAAGUGAGAAAA